UACGUUACUACUAUUUUUUUUAUGGGUAAUAAUAUUUAUUAUAAUAUUUUUCACAAUCAAUAGACAUUUGUAGAAAUUAUAUUUAUUUAUUUCAACGAAAUGGGUCCCCAAAGAACACCAGCACACAAGACAGCUUUACUCCACUUCUCUAAUUUUUUUUUUUUUUUUUUUUUGUAGGAAAAAUAUUUGCGCAUUAUCAUUUGAUAUAAUACAAACAUCAUCAUCAAAUAUUAUAAUAACCUUUCAGUUUUAUUUAUUGUAUCACAUUCCUUAGGAUUCUUUCUGUAAAAAUAGUCACAUGAUCCAAC
rnacentral:lncRNA from 1 species